GGCAGGGAGGGAGCACAGGGGUGGCCAGCGUAGGGUCCAGCACGUGGGGUGGUACCCCAGGCCUGGGUCAGACAGGGACAUGGCAGGGGACACAGGACAGAGGGGUCCCCAGCUGCCACCUCACCCACCGCAAUUCAUUUAGUAGCAGGCACAGGGGCAGCUCCGGCACGGCUUUCUCAGGCCUAUGCCGGAGCCUCGAGGGCUGGAGAGCGGGAAGACAGGCAGUGCUCGGGGAGUUGCAGCAGGACGUCACCAGGAGGGCGAAGCGGCCACGGGAGGGGGGCCCCGGGACAUUGCGCAGCAAGGAGGCUGCAGGGGCUCGGCCUGCGGGCGCCGGUCCCACGAGGCACUGCGGCCCAGGGUCUGGUGCGGAGAGGGCCCACAGUGGACUUGGUGACGCUGUAUGCCCUCACCGCUCAGCCCCUGGGGCUGGCUUGGCAGACAGUACAGCAUCCAGGGGAGUCAAGGGCAUGGGGCGAGACCAGACUAGGCGAGGCGGGCGGGGCGGAGUGAAUGAGCUCUCAGGAGGGAGGAUGGUGCAGGCAGGGGUGAGGAGCGCAGCGGGCGGCGAGCGGGAGGCACUGGCCUCCAGAGCCCGUGGCCAAGGCGGGCCUCGCGGGCGGCGACGGAGCCGGGAUCGGUGCCUCAGCGUUCGGGCUGGAGACGAGGGUGAGUUUUUCCCCCUCUGCCACCCUCAGCCCCCACCCGCCCCUCCCCACACAACCAACACGUUCUCCCCACACGACUCUCUCGUUCUCCCCACAGCCAGGUCUCCAGCUGGGGUGGACGUGCCCACCAGCUGCCGAAGGCCAAGACGCCAGGUCCGGUGGACGUGACAAGCAGGACAUGACAUGGUCCGGUGUGACGGCGAGGACAGAGGAGGCGCGUCCGGCCUUCCUGAACACCUUAGGCUGGUGGGGCUGCGGCAAGAAGCGGGUCUGUUUCUUUACUUCCUCCACGGAGUCGGCACACUAUGGCUGCCCUCUGGGCUCCCAGAACCCACAACAUGAAAGAAAUGGUGCUACCCAGCUCAAGCCUGGGCCUUUGAAUCCGGACACAAAACCCUCUAGCUUGGAAAUGAAUAUGCUGCACUUUACAACCACUGCACUACCUGACUCAGGAAUCGGCUCUGGAAGGUGAAGCUAGAGGAACCAGACCUCAUCAGCCCAACAUCAAAGACACCAUCGGAACAGCAGCGCCCGCAGCACCCACCCCGCACCGGCGACUCCAUCUUCAUGGCCACCCCCUGCGGCGGACGGUUGACCACCAGCCACCACAUCAUCCCAGAGCUGAGCUCCUCCAGCGGGAUGACGCCGUCCCCACCACCUCCCUCUUCUUCUUUUUCAUCCUUCUGUCUCUUUGUUUCUGAGCUUUCCUGUCUUUCCUUUUUUCUGAGAGAUUCAAAGCCUCCACGACUCUGUUUCCCCCGUCCCUUCUGAAUUUAAUUUGCACUAAGUCAUUUGCACUGGUUGGAGUUGUGGAGACGGCCUUGAGUCUCAGUACGAGUGUGCGUGAGUGUGAGCCACCUUGGCAAGUGCCUGUGCAGGGCCCGGCCGCCCUCCAUCUGGGCCGGGUGACUGGGCGCCGGCUGUGUGCCCGAGGCCUCACCCUGCCCUCGCCUAGUCUGGAAGCUCCGACCGACAUCACGGAGCAGCCUUCAAGCAUUCCAUUACGCCCCAUCUCGCUCUGUGCCCCUCCCCACCAGGGCUUCAGCAGGAGCCCUGGACUCAUCAUCAAUAAACACUGUUACAGCAA
ensembl:lncRNA H19 H19 imprinted maternally expressed transcript